UGCAAUAUGUCACAGGAUCAUCUGAACGCUUUGAUAGCAGUACAAGCCUAAUGCGUACUAUUGCGAGUGAUAUGAACUAUUUUUGUAAGUGAAAAAGUUUACGCCGAUACCGACACGUUUAACUUGUUUUCAGUAAACACUUGCGAAUUAAAAUCAGUGUCGACCCUCGCUGAUGAAAUCUGCAAAACGCAUUGUAUAGUUAUGAUGCAUCAUGAUAUAAAAUUGUUUAUCCUUCGUCAAAACAGACUUGUUUUGUUGAUAUGAACUUGAUAUUAUACAUUAAAUGCAUGUUUAAACAUGUUUCAUUUCCAGCAAUCGGCUGAACCAUAUGCCGCUCAAAAUAUAUAUUGUUAUGUCGAAUGUUGUAAAUGUAUACAUCGUUUAAGUGGCACAUUUCUUAUGAUUUAAUCUAAAUAUGAUGUAAUAAGUUUAUGUAAAAUUGAUAUCAUCUUUGAAUAUGUAACUAUUCGUUUCGUAUAUGAUUUGGCUUAAACAUUGUACUAAGUUUUCUUUCGUGCUGGUGCAGAUUAAGUUUCACUUUGCUUCUAUUUGCAUAAAAGUCCGAAACUCAACCAAACUGAAACGUCAGACCCACAAGCAACCAGUCCCCAUACACUCGGGCCUACAACUGCCCGACAUGAAACUCGCGGUACCAUAAGCAUUGGCUUCAUUGCAUCCGUAUCCGUAGCGUCGGUGGUUGGACUUCUGGCGGUCAUCUUAGUUAUUUAUAUUUGCCAAAUGAGAAAGAAACGUCGAACGUCAGCUGGUCAACACAAUGGGUAAACAGAAAGAUCACAACCCGCCAUAGAGCAAUCUUAUGAUCAAUGUUCUGCACGCGCUCCACACGAAGACCAUCAGUACGAUUACAUCAUCCCUGCAGACGGUGACGGCUACCUAGAAGUGACAGCGGGUUCUUACACUGCAACAUUCAAGUGCUAAGAUGUUUUAUAGGACAGCGGAGCAUUAAAUUGGACAACACUUUUCCACAGAGGUUCAAGCCCUAGCUCCCAGAACAAACAUUUUUUUUAAACAUUUUGGCAAUUGCUUUAUUAUUAGUGAAGGCAUAGAAAAUGGUUUACAUAAAAAAUGCUUGUGUUCGAAAGAAUGUUACAUUCAAACAUAUUCAAAUGAACAUGUAUUUAAAAUCAAUAUAUAGCUAUUACAGCAACUCUACCAGAUGUCUUUAGGUAGACCUCGUAUUUAAAUACAUUGAGAUGAAUAUGCAAGUAUACAUAUAGCAAUAAUACCAUUUGUUUGCCGCUAUCAUUAGGAUUGAAAUAAAAUAUCAGGGGAUAAGAGGGCUACAUGGAAUAGUCGUGUAAAUUGAAUUUAUAGAUGGCCCGUCGCUUUAAUAUUAUUCAGAGGUAUGGUUGCUGUUUCUUCUCGUACGCGUUAAAGGGUUAUCUUAUUAAUAUUCCAAACGUUGCAUAAACAACAUUUUAAAUGGGAAAUAAAUUAGUUUUGCCUUAAAGGCGUG